rnacentral:misc_RNA from 1 species
GAGCAUCUCGCCGUGAUAAAAUGGUGGAUGAGCCACGCUCGAGACCAAUCACGUGCGAGCCGGUCAGUUCUGGACCCAUCGACGACCCUUUGCGUGCACGCACGCUCCCAACGAGACCUCAGGUCAGGCGGGGCUACCCGCUGAGUUUAA